CCCCAGACUCCUACGGGAGGCAGCAGUGGGGAAUAUUGCACAAUGGGGGAAACCCUGAUGCAGCGACGCCGCGUGAGUGAAGAAGUAUUUCGGUAUGUAAAGCUCUAUCAGCAGGGAAGAAAAUGACGGUACCUGACUAAGAAGCCCCGGCUAACUACGUGCCAGCAGCCGCGGUAAUACGUAGGGGGCAAGCGUUAUCCGGAUUUACUGGGUGUAAAGGGAGCGUAGACGGCAUGGCAAGUCAGAUGUGAAAGCCCGGGGCUCAACCCCGGGACUGCAUUUGAAACUGUCAGGCUGGAGUGCAGGAGAGGUAAGUGGAAUUCCUAGUGUAGCGGUGAAAUGCGUAGAUAUUAGGAGGAACACCAGUGGCGAAGGCGGCUUACUGGACUGUAGCUGACGUCGAGGCUCGAAAGCGUGGGGAGCAAACAGGAUUAGAUACCCUCGUAAG
rnacentral:rRNA from 1 species